rnacentral:rRNA from 1 species
UACGAAGGUCCCAAGCGUUGUUCGGAAUCACUGGGCGUAAAGGGAGCGUAGGCGGCGUGGUAAGUCAGAUGUGAAAUCCCGGGGCUCAACCCCGGAACUGCAUCCGAUACUGCCAUGCUAGAGGAUUGGAGAGGUAGCUGGAAUUCUUGGUGUAGCAGUGAAAUGCGUAGAGAUCAAGAGGAACACUCGUGGCGAAAGCGGGUAGCUGGGCCGACACUGACGCUGAGGCGCGAAAGCCAGGGGAGCGAACGGG